CCCUUAGAUGUUCUGGGCCGCACGCGCGCUACACUGAUGAAUUCAACGAGCUCCUAACCUAGGCCGAAGGGUCCGGGUAAUCUUUGAAAUUUCAUCGUGAUGGGGAUAGAUUAUUGCAAUUAUUAAUCUUCAACGAGGAAUUCCUAGUAAGCGCGAGUCAUCAGCUCGCGUUGAUUACGUCCCUGCCCUUUGUACACACCGCCCGUCGCUCCUACCGAUUGAAUGGUUCGGUGAAAUGUUCGGACCGCGACAAGGCGGACGGUUCGCUGUCAGCUUUGCUGCGGGAAGUUCAUUAAACCUUAUCAUUUAGAGGAAGGAGAAGUCGUAACA
rnacentral:rRNA from 1 species